AUACGGAGGAUGCAAGCGUUAUCCGGAUUUAUUGGGUUUAAAGGGUGCGUAGGCGGUUUGCUAAGCGGGAGGUGAAAUGCCGGCGCUCAACGACGGAAGUGCCUCCCGAACUGGUGGACUUGAAUGACUCUGCCGUGGGAGGAAUGUGUAGUGUAGCGGUGAAAUGCUUAGAGAUUACACAGAACACCGAUUGCGAAGGCAUCUCACGAAGGGUUGAUUGACGCUGAGGCACGAAAGCGUGGGGAUCAAACAGGAUUAGAUACCCUGGUAGUCCACGCAGUAAACGAUGAUGGCUAACCGCUGGAUCCAUCGGUUCAGUGGCCAAGCGAAAGCGAUAAGCCAUCCACCUGGGGAGUACGACCGCAAGGUUGAAACUCAAAUGAAUUGACGGGG
rnacentral:rRNA from 1 species